rnacentral:lncRNA from 1 species
UAGCCGCGGACCCUCAACGAUAUGUAGCCUAUUAUCAUAACCAGGCUGGUGGCUUUAUGCCAGGGUUUACUGGGGGUACCACUAUGUAUGGGGCUGGUCUUGGAGGGUUAUUCAGGGGGCUUUUUCGCAUGGCUAUACCUCUAUUGAGGAAAGGAAUCGGGAUUGCUAAACCACAUCUAAAAGCUGCUGCUAAAAAUAUUGUCGGUGAUGUCAUAUCUAGGGUUGUGAAUCAUCGUGGAGACCAAGCCCAGGCUGGUUCAGGCAUGCUUGUGAUGAGUCGUACCAGGUCGAAAAGACCUCCAGGGGUGCGGCGUGUCUCGACAGCAAUAAAAAAUAGGGGCAAACCUAAGAAACGCUCAGUGACUAAACGGAAGACGCCUGAUGCACAACGUAGAGGCGCUAGUGUGAAAAAGAAGUUUAAAAAUAUAUUCUGAUUAUGGCUCUAAUACACGGAUUGUCUGAGGAAUGCGUGAAGUCGGAGCUCGAUCUUUUUACAGUACCUAUGACCCAAACAACGAUUGAAAAAUCGACUUAUGUUGAGAUAUCACCUAUAACAGCUUUGUCGGAUACAUCGCCCCUGGAAUUUUUCAUUGCCGGGAAUGGUGAUGACUAUAUAGAUUUGAAUAACACACUUUUGUAUACAAGGAUCAAAAUCACAAAACCGGAUGGCUCGAAUAUUGAUGCUGCCGCCAAGGUGGGGUUAGUGAAUUAUCCAGGCUCAACAAUAUUCUCACAGGUUGACGUCUCAUUGGGUGAUCGACUGAUCUCACAGGGGUCAAAUACCUAUCCAUAUCGCUGCAUCAUAGAAUGUCUCAUGAAUUAUGACAGGCAGACUCUGGAAUCGCUAUUCUCGGCGGGUUUGUUUUACAAAGACAUAGCCGGUCGUAUGGACAUAGCAGACCCCCUAGGAGCUAACACUGGCCUGCGGAAGAGAGCCACAUUCACAGCAAACAGUAGAGUUGUAGAACUAUUAACCCCCAUACACAGUGAUAUCUUUUUUCAAGAAAAACUGAUGUUGAAUAAUGUGGAUAUCAGAAUCAGAUUGACCCGGGCAAAGGAUGAGUUCUGUCUAAUGAGGGCUGAUGAUGUGGACUAUAAAAUUAGUAUGGUUUCGGCGUCACUAUUUGUGAAAAAAGCAUCUGUAUCAGCGGCCGUAAGACUUGGACACGCGCAUGCCCUACUCUCUGCAACAGCUAAAUACCCGGUUGACCGGGUCUGUCUAAAGAAUUUCUCAAUACCCACUGGUACUAGGGUUGCCAAUCAAGAAAAUCUCUUUCUGGGAACAUUACCCAAAUCUAUUAUAAUAGCAAUGGUUAAAAAUGAUGCGUUUACAGGCGCC